CGGGGGAUAACAGGCUGAUACCGCCCAAGAGUUCACAUCGACGGCGGUGUUUGGCACCUCGAUGUCGGCUCAUCACAUCCUGGGGGCUGAAGUCGGUCCCAAGGGUAUGGCUGUUCGCCAUUUAAAAGUGGUACGCGAGCUGGGUUUAGAACGUCGUGAGACAGUUCGGUCCCUAUCUGCCGUGGGGCGUGGAUGUUUUGAGAAGAGCUGCUCCUAGUACGAGAGGACCGGAGUGGACGACCCUCUGGUGUUCCGGUUGUCACGCCAGUGGCAUUGCCGGGUAGCUAUGGUCGGACGGGGAUAACCGCUGAAAGCAUCUAAGCGGGAAGCCCCCUUCAAGAUGAGACAUCCCUGAGACCUAGAGUCUCCUAAAGGGCCCAGCGAGACCAGCUGGUGGAUAGGCACGGUGUGGAAGCGCUGCAAGGCGUUGAGCUAACGUGUACUAAUGGCCCGUGAGGCUUGACC
rnacentral:ncRNA from 1 species